rnacentral:rRNA from 1 species
GGACUACUAGGGUAUCUAAUCCUGUUUGCUCCCCACGCUUUCGAGCAUGAGCGUCAGUGUUAUCCCAGGAGGCUGCCUUCGCCAUCGGUGUUCCUCCACAUCUCUACGCAUUUCACUGCUACACGUGGAAUUCUACCUCCCUCUGACACACUCUAGUUCUAGAGUUCCAAACGCAGUUCCCAAGUUGAGCUCGGGGAUUUCACAUCUGGCUUUUAGAACCGCCUGCGCUCGCUUUACGCCCAGUAAUUCCGAUUAACGCUCGCACCCUACGUAUUACCGCGGCUGCUGGCAC